rnacentral:rRNA from 1 species
GACGAACGCUGGCGGCGUGCUUAACACAUGCAAGUCGUGCGGUAAGGCCCUUUCGGGGGUACCCGAGCGGCGAACGGGUGAGUAACACGUGAGCAACCUGCCCUUCACUUUGGGAUAACUGCCGGAAACGGUGGCUAAUACCGGAUAUGACUUCCUCACGCAUGUGGGGUGGUGGAAAGCCUUCGGGUGGUGGGGGAUGGGCUCGCGGUCUAUCAGCUUGUUGGUGGGGUGAUGGCCUACCAAGGCUUCGACGGGUAGCCGGCCUGAGAGGGUGACCGGCCACACUGGGACUGAGACACGACCCAGCCUCCUACGGGAGGCAGCGGUGGAGAAUAUUAGACAGUGGGCGAAAGCCUGGUCCAGCAACGCCGCGUGGGGGAUGACGGCCUUCGGGUUGUAAACCUCUUUCGCCUGCGACGAAGCGAGAGUGACGGUAGCAGGUAAAGAAGCACCGGCCAACUACGUG